rnacentral:rRNA from 1 species
GACGAACGCUGGCGGCGUGCUUAACACAUGCAAGUCGAGCGGUAAGGCCCUUUCGGGGGUACACGAGCGGCGAACGGGUGAGUAACACGUGGGUGACCUGCCCUCAGCUCUGGGAUAAGCCUGGGAAACCGGGUCUAAUACUGGAUAUGACUCCAUGACGCAUGUUGUGGGGUGGAAAGCCUUGUGCGGCUGAGGAUGGGCCCGCGGCCUAUCAGCUUGUUGAUGGGGGAUGGCCUACCAAGGCGACGACGGGUAGCCGGCCUGAGAGGGCGACCGGCCACACUGGGACUGAGACACGGCCCAGACUCCUACGGGAGGCAGCAGUGGGGAAUCUUGCGCAAUGGGCGAAAGCCUGACACAGCGACGCCGCGUGAGGGAUGACGGCCU